rnacentral:rRNA from 1 species
CCUACGGGAGGCAGCAGUGAGGAAUAUUGGUCCAUGGCCGGAAGGCUGAACCAGCCAAGCCGCGUGAGGGAGGAAGGCGCAGAGCGUCGCAGACCUCUUUUGCCGGGGGACAACAGGCCGGACGGGUCCGUUUCUGAGGGUACCCGGAGAAAAAGCAUCGGCUAACUCCGUGCCAGCAGCCGCGGUAAUACGGAGGAUGCGAGCGUUAUCCGGAUUCAUUGGGUUUAAAGGGAGCUUAGAUGGGUUGUUAAGUCAGUUGUGAAAGUUUGCGGCUCAACCGUAAAAUUGCAAGUGAUACUGGCAGUCUUGAGUACAGUUGAGGUAGGCGGAAUUCGUGGUGUAGCGGUGAAAUGCUUAGAUAUCACGAAGAACCCCGAUUGCGAAGGCAGCUUACUAAACUGUGACUGACAUUGAUGCUCGAAAGUGUGGGUAUCAAACAGGAUUAGAUACCCGGGUAGUC